rnacentral:tRNA from 1 species
GGGCCCGUAGCUCAGCUUGGUAGAGCAGCAGGCUCAUAACCUGUCGGCCGGGCGUUCAAAUCGCCCCGGGCCCACCA